GUCCGAAUGGCCGAGUGGUUUAGGCAUCCGUCGCGAAAACGGAGGACGCUGGUUCGAAUCCAGCUUUGAACA
rnacentral:tRNA from 1 species